rnacentral:pre_miRNA from 1 species
AUACACAUACACAUAUAUGAGUGUGUGUGUAUAUAUAUACACACACACAUAUAUAUAUGUGUGUGUGUG